UACGGGGGGGGCAAGCGGUUGUUCGGAAUUACUGGGCGUAAAGGGCUCGUAGGCGGCCAACUAAGUCAGACGUGAAAUCCCUCGGCUUAACCGGGGAACUGCGUCUGAUACUGGAUGGCUUGAGUUCGGGAGAGGGAUGCGGAAUUCCAGGUGUAGCGGUGAAAUGCGUAGAUAUCUGGAGGAACACCGGUGGCGAAGGCGGCAUGCCUGGACCGACACCUGGACGCUGAGGCGCGAAAGCGUGGGGAGCAAACAGG
rnacentral:rRNA from 1 species